UAGGGAAUCUUCGGCAAUGGACGGAAGUCUGACCGAGCAACGCCGCGUGAGUGAAGAAGGUUUUCGGAUCGUAAAGCUCUGUUGUUAGAGAAGAACGUUGGUAGGAGUGGAAAAUCUACCAAGUGACGGUAACUAACCAGAAAGGGACGGCUAACUACGUGCCAGCAGCCGCGGUAAUACGUAGGUCCCGAGAGUUGUCCGGAUUUUUUGGGGGUAAAGCGAGCGCAGGCGGUUCUUUAAGUCUGAAGUUAAAGGCAGUGGCUUAACCAUUGUACGCUUUGGAAACUGGAGGACUUGAGUGCAGAAGGGGAGAGUGGAAUUCCAUGUGUAGCGGUGAAAUGAGUAGUUAUAUGGAGGAACACCGGUGGCGAAAGCGGCUCUCUGGUCUGUAACUGACGCUGAGGCUCGCAAGCGUGGGGAGCAAACAGG
rnacentral:rRNA from 1 species